rnacentral:rRNA from 1 species
GAGUUUGAUUCUGGCUCAGGAUGAACGCUAGCGGGAGGCCUAACACAUGCAAGCCGAGCGGGAUUUGUUGGUUAGCUUGCUAACUGAUAAUGAGAGCGGCGUACGGGUGCGUAACACGUGUGCAACCUGCCUUUAUCUGGGGGAUAGCCUUUCGAAAGGAAGAUUAAUACCCCAUAAUAUAUUGAUUGGCAUCGAUUAAUAUUGAAAGCUGAGGCGGAUAGAGAUGGGCACGCGUAAGAUUAGCUAGUUGGUGAGGUAACGGCUCACCAAGGCUGCGAUCUUUAGGGGGCCUGAGAGGGUGAUCCCCCACACUGGUACUGAGACACGGACCAGACUCCUACGGGAGGCAGCAGUGAGGAAUAUUGGACAAUGGGUGAGAGCCUGAUCCAGCCACCCCGCGUGAAGGACUAAGGACCUAUGGUUUGUAAACUUCUUUUAUAACAGGGAUAAACCUACUUCUCGUGAGGGUAGCUGAAGGUACUGUAUGAAUAAGCACCGG